UGCUUAUCCUAGUACAACCCAGGAUGUCAGCAUGUGGCAAGGGCACGUUGCUGGCUCGUGAUCAGUCUGGUGCCAAUCAGGUUACAAGGUUCUUUCUUGCAAAGCUCCCUUCAAACUGGUCCGGCCUCAGUGUGUAGUGCUGUCUAGGGUUAUUUCUCCCCAGGUUUUGGACUUUGUGCUUUCCAUUGUUGAACUUUAUGAGGUUCCUGUUGACCCAUUUCUCUGCUUCUUUCUGAAGGGCACAACUCUUUGGCAUAUCAGCCUCUUCUGCCAGUUUUGCAUCAUCAGCAAACUUCCUGGUUGUGUGUUCUGUCUUAUCACCUGUGUCAUGGAAGAAGAGAAUUAAAAAUUAUUAUCCUUGAGAUGAACUCCUGGGGUAGACCGCUGGGGACUGUCCUUCAGAUGGACUUUGUGCUAUCACAACCCUUGGAGCUUGGCAGUUCAGCCAGCUUUCAGUCCCCCUCACUGUCCCCUUACCUAGUCUGUAUUUCAUUCCUUUGUCAAUGAUGUUAUGAGAGGCCAUGGAAAAUGAACGUUCACAGCCCAUUUCAUCAUAGACAGCUCUCUGUCGGUCCAGCAUGAUUUUCCCUUUUCCUGUGCUUAUUAUGUCUGUCAUUUCCUUGUCUGCAAUACAUCUAGAAUGUUUUUCUGGUGGAUUUGUCCCAGGGCCUGAGGUGAGGUUGAGCAGGAGGUCCCUGGAUCCUUCUUCUGACCCUACUGAAAGAUGGGGCUGAUAUUUGUUUUUUUCCUGUCCUCUGGAACCUGUCAUGUCACAACCACCUCUCAGAGAUUACUGAGAGUGGCCUUGCAGGGGCCAGCACUCAUGGGUAGAUCCCAUCAGGUCUCAGGGAUUUGUUUAUAUCUACUUUAGUUCCAUUAAAUGUUCCCUAACCUGAUCCCCCUCCACUGAAUCUAAGACUUCCCUGCUCCAGAUUUAAAAUAUAAACUUGGACUGUUGAAAAUAUAUUAUGUGAAAGAUGAUUUAUAUUAAAACUAAGCACCCCAAACCCCUCCAUAAUAUAAAUAUGCAAUAUUACAAAUAUGAUUGUAAUGACUUUGAUGUAAAACAAUUUUUUUUCUAGGAUAAUAUACAUUUUUUCACAUUCUGUAUGGAAAAUGCUUGAACUGCCAGUGGGUGAUAGGCAGCAUGUUGUUUGUUAGGUAUUUGCCUUUGUUUCCUUCUUUUUUUUACUGAGUUGAUAAAGACAAGGCUGACCUAUGAUCCAUAGCUCCUUAAGUAAAGUUUCCAGCUUUCUCUGAUUAUUAACAAUUAACGAUUUUAGUCAUGUGUUAUUUAAACAAUAGCCAGAUAUUGAAGUAGGUACUAAGUGCACUUCAGUGUAUCAUAAAUAUGUUUGAACCACUUACAAAUAGUCUUACCACAUUUUGUUUGAUAAACAAAAAUGUCCUUCUUUUGGCCCCAGACUUUGUAGGCAGAAAAAUAACCCAGAUUACCUUUGGAAAAGGCUUUAUCUCACUCUUUUAGAGUAUAAGCAUAUGCUAGGGAGCAUACCCCUGGCAUACCAGAGUAGUCUCAAGUUUACAGCUAUCUUCAUCUGUUCUGCCUACAUAAACAAAAGCUGAUACACAGGACUGGAAAGAAACAUGUUCCAUAGAUGUCAGCUUCCGUCUGCUAUGAUGCUCCACUGAGUGAUGCCACAUUCAACACUGAGCAGCACUGGCAAAGCAGAGUGGCUUCUCAGAAUGAGGUGUACAGCUGCCAUUCCAGGUGUACAGGUGCCAUUCCAUGUCACAGCAGGCCUGUGUUUGCUGCUCCACAAGCUGCAGAAAAGGCAGACAAAGAAAGAAACAGAAAGACACCAAAGCUGAGAUCUUCAAAGUACCCAAAGUACUCCAUCAUGAAAGCUUUUGGUACCUUGCUGAUCUGUGGAUCUGUGGUCUGAGGGUCAGCUGACAAAGUGGUCUGGACUGGAGUGAGGGGUUCAAUCUACAUCUGCCAUCUCAAGGCUGGUAACAAAGCAAGAGAAGCCAACUUGAGGAGCAUGCAUACUGUGAUACCCUCAGUGGUUUCUUUUACAAUGUGUUCUGGACCAGCCAGUGAAUUUUUUUUAACUGACCAGUGAAAGAAAAUUUAAAAUGAAAAAGGAAAAUUAAGAAGUUAAUGAUACCAGAUUUCAGCGAAGCUGAACGGCUUCCCGAAGAGCUCUGACUUUUCUAUGCCAGAUUCUGCUCCAGUGGCUAGGACCUUUAUGGCUGCUGUUUCUUUUUCUCUGGGAUCUGAUGGAGGAAAAAAAAAAAAGCCACGAUGGAUCCUGUCCUUAAAGUAGAAAUUUUCUUUUUCAUUCUGCAAACAAGGCUAAAGAUCGAAGGAGAAUGAAUGCAAAAGCAAUUCAGGAUUGUGGUCGUGCCAUUAAAAGUGUUCGGCUUCAGAACAAAAUUAUUUGGGAAAUCCGAGCAAUUCUUCUUACUGUAUCGACAGUAUUUGAAAGUUAUGUGUGCUUUGAGUAAUCUGGUUCAAGUGACAACAAUCUCUGCAUGUCAAUGUUUUCUGCAGCUUAUGGAGUGAAGGCUAGUUUUGCCAUUGGAAAGGAAGAAGCUUUUUCUAGCAGUCUGUAGAAGGAUUAAAUGUUGAACGUGGUGAAGAGACAAAAAGUGAAUACACGCCCAAAGGUUAUCCUUGCAUCGUGAAUGGGUUUAAAGUACUCUGUAACCCAGGGCCCACCUGAACAGUAGGACUAAAAGUAUAUGGGGGAAAUAUUUCACUUAGAACCCCCUUAACAAGCAUUUAAUCCUUCUUUCAGGCAUUAAGGAAAUAGAAUAAAAUUGUUACUGUACAAAUCUGCUGGAAGCAGAUUUUAACCCAUUUGUAGACGCUUCCCUCUGAUGCAUUAUAGUAGCAUAGCUACUUGUGAGACAAGGCAGUGAAGAUUUUUAUCCUGUGUGCUUUGUUUUUUCUUUUCAAAAGUUAAGGACCAUACUCAGAAAAGUCUGUUUGGUCAGCUGGUACAUUGUUUGAAUGUAUAUAUGCAUCUUGCCUGCUUAUUUGAUCAUUUCUGCCCCCUACUUGAAACUGUGGUUUGAUUAUUUGGGGGGAAGGAGGUGGUGUUGAUUUGAUGGGGGGGACGGGACAUUGGUUUUAGGGUUUCUUUUGGGUUUGGGAUUUUUUUCUAUUUAACAAUAGCAGUGAAAGUUUUGGUGACAGCGAUUAUGACUACUAAACAGUUCAGUUUAUUGGAAGACGAAUUCUUCUGGACCAUAUCAGACUUUUCCUAGUCCCUGAGACCCUAACUUGUGAGGUUUUUUAGUAACAAUCACAAGUCAGGCUCUUGGGACCUAGGCGGAGGGGAACCAGCAGCUUUGGACUUUGUUUGUUUCUCUGCAGAAUUUAGAGAACCAAAGGAGCUUUCCUUGCCUGGAAGGGUAAAAAGGAAAAUAUACCUAUUUUAAAUGUUAAGCAUCAGAACUGUUCCUAAAAAAAAAAAAAAAAAAAAAAGAAAAGAAAAAAAUCCAAACUGUUUCUCAUUGUGCAGCAUUAGGAUGUUACAUAUUUAUAUGUUUAGAAAACUGGACUAGAUGUCAUGUAACAUUUAGAAUUAUAAUUUAACCUGAAUGUUAGUUUGCACAACAAAACUCCCUCCAAACAACAAAAACAACAAAACUCCCACUCAAAACAGAUAAUAAAAUAUAUAAAAGACUUCCAACCAAAAUAUUAAUAGUAUUAUUAUUAUUGUAGACAAUUCUGAUAAAUAAUUACCACAAAGUACAUAUUCAUCCUUACUGUUCAAGCAUUAGUUGACUUUUAAAACAUAAAACAUAAACACUGAUGUUUGAGGCCUAGAAAACAUUCAUUCUAUUGUUUGAAUAAUGAUUUCAGUCUACAGGAAAACUGUUGCUUAGCUUUUCCUGUAACAUAGAACAAAGAGUAUUUUGUACUUAGUUGCCAUCCUUUUUCUUUGUCCAAGUGAGAACACAAUAUGUCAUUUAAAAUAUUCUCUCAUUUAAUUUACAUGUUAAUCUGAAAAAAAAAUAUUGUUUUAAAAAUCAUACUACAGCAUUAACAUCCCUUUGCACUCAGAAACAUAUUUCUUGUACCUGUUCAAUUUAAAGUGAACCCACAAUACUCCAAGCACUGGACUGAACUUGUAGCUUCUCCAUCACUUCUUACAUUUUUUAUCCCUCUGAAAGCAAACAGUGUGAGCUGUAGCUUGUCCCUCAUGUGUUAAGAACUUCACUGACUUUGCAUAAGGAGAUUCACAAGCACAUGAGUUAUUCUGCACUGCUUAUUUGUCUCAAACAUCUGAUCUAAAACACCUCAUCUGAUUUGUAUUUCUUAAUAUUUUAUAGGUGAGUUAGUUCUGAGUAAUUUUUCUCUGUUUCCUGUGUCUAACCAAGAUGCUGAAGGACUUUGUUGAUGCACAAGACUUCGCUGAAACAAAGGCUUCACACAGAUCAGGCAUCUAAACUAUUUGUUCAUUUCAAAAGUGGUAUUUUGGCUGCAGUAUAUUUUUUCCACUUGUGUGGGAGGAAUUGUGUUUUAUUGUAAGCACCAACACUAUUGUUAAAAUAAAUUGUUCUUAUCUGUUAGUAUAA